rnacentral:misc_RNA from 1 species
GAGAGAGAGAGAGAGAGAGAUGGGUGAAGAGAGAGAGGAUCCACAGAAGAUAAAGAGGUUGGCGGCGGCCGCUUAUGAUUACGAGAACGACCCCCGAUGGGCCGACUACUGGUCCAACAUCCUCAUCCCUCCCCACAUGGCUUCUCGCUCCGACGUUGUGGACCACUUCAAGCGCAAGUUCUAUCAGCGCUACGUCGAUCCUGAUCUUGUGGUGGAGGCAAUGACUUCAACUGGUUCAUCUCAAUCAACAAAACCUUCUUCAUCCUCCUCCACAUCAUCAGCAACUUCAAAUGACCAAACUCGACAACGGAACACAGGGUCAACUACAAGGACCUCUGGGACAUCAGCAAGUGCAGGUCCAAAUACUAGUCCUACUUCUGUCCGCUGGGAUCGACAAACUAUUCAAUUUUCUGUCAAUGCUUGGGUUUUUGUUGUGGCUGUGCUUGCAAUCAUUCCU